GAUGAACGCUAGCGGCAGGCUUAAUACAUGCAAGUCGAGGGGCAGCAUGAGUGUAGCAAUACAUUUGAUGGCGACCGGCAAACGGGUGCGGAACACGCACACAACCUUCCUAUAAGUGGGGAAUAGCCCAGAGAAAUUUGGAUUAAUACCCCGUAACAUAAUGAUGUGGCAUCACAUUAUUAUUAUAGCUUCGGCGCUUAUUGAUGGGUGUGCGGCUGAUUAGAUAGUUGGCGGGGUAACGGCCCACCAAGUCUACGAUCAGUAGCUGAUGUGAAAGCAUGAUCAGCCACACGGGCACUGAGACACGGGCCCGACUCUUACGGGAGGCAGCAGUAAGGAAUAUUGGUCAAUGGACGCAAGUCUGAACCAGCCAUGCCGCGUGAAGGAUUAAGGUCCUCUGGAUUGUAAACUUCUUUUAUCUGGGACGAAAAAAGGCUAUUCUUAGUCACUUGACGGUACCAGAUGAAUAAGCACCGGCUAACUCCGUGCCAGCCGCCGCCGUAAUAC
rnacentral:rRNA from 1 species